rnacentral:lncRNA from 1 species
AAGGGGCUGGUGGCUGUCGCUAAGUGCUGGCCGGGUGGCCUGCUGUAGAGCCUGCGGUGAAAGCGGACGGGCCCCCCUCUCCUUCCUCUGCCUGAGGACAUCCAGGUAAGACCAGCUACAGAGCUCAAACAUUUGAAAUGACAGCAGUGAGGAUGAAGCAGCCCACGGUCGCCCAGGGCCUGAGUCAGGAAGAGGAAUAAACCAGAGGUCAUCUAAAAGUGACUGAGCUUCAUUGCUGAUUAAACUACCAAUAUCAUUUGUACUGAUGCCUGAAGGUUUUUCCCCAUCAAGAACAGUCCCUUCUUAAUAGCCAAAGGCAGAUAAGGGUCACCUGGCUGGGGCUAUAGGUAAAACUAAGCCUGGCUCAUGAAUGGGCAAGUCACAAGUACAGCUGGU